rnacentral:rRNA from 1 species
UUUUCGGAGAGUUUGAUCCUGGCUCAGGAUAAACGCUGGCGGCGUGCAUGAGACAUGCAAGUCGAACGGGUGACUCGAGCUUGCUCGAGUCACUAGUGGCGGACGGCUGAGUAACGCGUUGGUGACCUGCCCCGAAGUGGGGAAUAACUGCCCGAAAGGGUGGCUAAUACCGCAUGUGAUCGCUCGUUCGAUCGAGUGAUCAAAGCCGCAAGGCGCUUCGGGAGGGGCCUGCGUCCGAUUAGCUCGUUGGUGGGGUAAUGGCUCACCAAGGCGACGAUCGGUAGGUGGUCUGAGAGGACGAUCACCCAGACUGGGACUGAGACACGG